GAUGAACGCUGGCGGCGUGCUUAACACAUGCAAGUCGAACGGAAAGGCUCCUGCUUGCAGGGGUACUCGAGUGGCGAACGGGUGAGUAACACGUGGGUGAUCUGCCCUGUACUUCGGGAUAAGCUUGGGAAACUGGGUCUAAUACCGGAUAGGACAACUUUUUGGAUAUUGUUGUGGAAAGCUUUUGCGGUAUGGGAUGAGCUCGCGGCCUAUCAGCUUGUUGGUGGGGUAAUGGCCUACCAAGGCGUCGACGGGUAGCCGGCCUGAGUGGGUGUACGGCCACAGUGGGACUGAGAUACGGCCCAGACUCCUACGGGAGGCAGCAGGGGGGAAUAUUGCACAAUGGGCGCAAGCCUGAUGCAGCGACGCCGCGUGGGGGAUGAAGGCCUUCGGGUUGUAAACUCCUUUCGCUAGGGACGAAGCUUUUUUGUGACGGUACCUGGAGAAGAAGCACCGGCUAACUACGUG
rnacentral:rRNA from 1 species